ACUACGUGAGGCAGCAGUAGGGAAUAUUGCUCAAUGGGGGAAACCCUGAAGCAGCAACGCCGCGUGGAGGAUGAAGGUUUUCGGAUUGUAAACUCCUUUUGUUAGAGAAGAUAAUGACGGUAUCUAACGAAUAAGCACCGGCUAACUCCGUGCCAGCAGCCGCGGUAAUACGGAGGGUGCAAGCGUUACUCGGAAUCACUGGGCGUAAAGAGCGCGUAGGCGGGAUAGCAAGUCAGAUGUGAAAUCCUAUGGCUUAACCAUAGAACUGCAUUUGAAAAUGUUAUUCUAGAGUAUGGGAGAGGUAGGUGGAAUUCUUGGUGUAGGGGUAAAAUCCGUAGAGAUCAAGAGGAAUACUCAUUGCGAAGGCGACCUGCUAGAACAUAACUGACGCUGAUGCGCGAAAGCGUGGGGAGCAAACAGGAUUAGAUACCCCAGUAGUC
rnacentral:rRNA from 1 species